CUUGUUGCACAUCACUAACAACGAUGUUGGCAAAUGAAACGAACAAGCUGCUGCUUUCCUCGCAGCAGGAAAAGCCAAAUCACUACACCUACCUGAAGGAGUUCCGCGUGGAGCAGUGCCAGUCGUUUUUGCAGCACAAGUGCAACCAGCAUCGCCCCUUCGUCUGUUUCAAUUGGCAUUUUCAAAACCAGCGUCGGCGUCGUCCAGUGCGAAAACGCGAUGGCACAUUCAACUACAGUGCGGAUAACUAUUGCACCAAAUACGACGAAACCACUGGCAUUUGUCCCGAGGGCGAUGAAUGCCCCUACUUACACCGCACUGCUGGAGACACCGAAAGGCGAUACCAUCUGCGCUACUACAAGACAUGCAUGUGCGUCCACGACACCGACAGCCGUGGAUACUGCGUCAAGAAUGGACUACACUGCGCCUUCGCCCACGGCAUGCAGGACCAGCGCCCACCGGUUUAUGACAUCAAAGAGCUGGAGACCCUGCAGAACGCGGAGAGCACACUGGACAGCACUAAUGCUCUAAAUGCCCUGGACAAGGAGCGCAAUUUGAUGAACGAGGAUCCCAAGUGGCAGGACACCAACUACGUGCUGGCCAACUACAAGACAGAGCCCUGCAAGCGCCCACCGCGCCUGUGCCGCCAAGGAUACGCUUGUCCACAGUACCACAAUAGCAAGGACAAACGUCGCUCGCCCAGGAAAUACAAAUACAGGUCCACUCCUUGCCCCAAUGUUAAGCACGGUGAGGAAUGGGGAGAACCGGGAAACUGCGAGGCCGGCGAUAACUGCCAGUACUGCCACACACGCACCGAGCAGCAGUUCCACCCGGAGAUCUACAAGUCGACCAAGUGCAACGAUGUCCAACAGGCCGGUUACUGUCCGCGCAGCGUCUUCUGCGCCUUUGCGCAUGUGGAACCAUGCUCAAUUGACGAGAAGGCGCGGGAUCACACGGUAUCCCUAAGCGAGCUUAUUUCCAAUGCGUAUCCUGAUUUAAAAGCCCAGGAUGCGUUUCAAAGGGGCGAUAAUCUUGCUCACUGGACGAUCCGCGCGAGAACUCAUUGUCGGCGAGUCUGGCCAAUACUAGCUUAUUAACACGUUCCUCGGCGCCAAUUAACAUUCCUAAUACGACUCUAAAUAACUCAAUUAACGAUUUUAACUCAGGUGGCUUCGCCGUCAACAUUCCCAGCAGCUCGCUCCCCUACAGUCCCACCAACCAUGCCAAUAUCUUUAACGUGGACGCC
rnacentral:misc_RNA from 1 species